rnacentral:rRNA from 1 species
GAGUUUGAUCCUGGCUCAGAACAAACGCUGGCGGCGUGCCUAAUACAUGCAAGUCGAACGAGGAAGUACCUUCGGGUAUUGUACUAGUGGCGUACGGGUGAGUAACGCGUGGAUAAUCUUCCUUAAAGUGGGGAAUAACUAGUCGAAAGAUUAGCUAAUACCGCAUAAGACCACAGGGGCUUCGGUCCUAGGGGUUAAAGCCGAAAGGCGCUUUAAGAUGAGUCUGCGCCCGAUUAGCUAGUUGGUGAGGUAAAGGCUCACCAAGGCGACGAUCGGUAGCUGGUCUGAGAGGACGGCCAGCCACACUGGGACUGAGACACGGCCCAGACUCCUACGGGAGGCAGCAGUAGGGAAUAUUGCACAAUGGAGGAAACUCUGAUGCAGCGACGCCGCGUGAGUGACGAAGGCCUUCGGGUUGUAAAGCUCUGUUCUCAGGGAAAAAGAAAGUGAUUGACCUAGAAGAA